CAGUAGCCACGGUAAUACGUAGGUGGCAAGCGUUGUCCGGAAUUAUUGGGCGUAAAGGGCUCGCAGGCGGUUUCUUAAGUCUGAUGUGAAAGCCCCCGGCUCAACCGGGGAGGGUCAUUGGAAACUGGGAAACUUGAGUGCAGAAGAGGAGAGUGGAAUUCCACGUGUAGCGGUGAAAUGCGUAGAGGUGUGGAGGAACACCAGUGGCGAAGGCGACUCUCUGGUCUGUAACUGACGCUGAGGAGCGAAAGCGUGGGAGCGAACAGGAUUAGAUACCCCCGUAGUCCCUGUCUCUUAUACA
rnacentral:rRNA from 1 species